ACGAAACAAUAAAAUCCCCAAUUCAAUUUUGAAAUCCCUAAUUCUAUCAUCUUCUUCACUCUUCUUCCAUAGCUAAUUGAAAUCCCAAAUUCUUCUAUCUUCCAUAUCUUCUUCUAUCAUUUUCUUUAAGUUUGAUUUCGAAAUCUCUAAUUUUAUCAUCUUCUUCCAUUGUUUGAUUUCGAAAUCCUAAUUCUUCCAUCUUCAUCCAUCUUUCUAGCUCCGUCGAUUACCAAGUAUCUCCUCCAUGUGAAUAUACUUAUACCAAAAGUGGUCCACGUGAGGAAGAAUCUUCACAGCUCAAUCCCAAACGUUCCUCGCAUGGUUGACGUCUUUGUUCCAUAGCUUCAUUAAGCAACCAUGGAUGAUAAAAGAUGAUAUGAAAGCUAUGGAAGUUUGAUUAAGUUAGAAGAUGGACGAAUUAGGGAUUGAAGAUGGAAGAAGAUGAUAGAAUUAGGGAUUUUAAAAUUGAAUUGGGGAUUUUGCUGUUUCAU